GUCCUAUACACACUUUGACAACACAUAUACAAAAAUUGUAACCAUACAGAGAAAAUUGGUGUGGCCCCUGACCAAGGAUAACUUGCAAAUUUGUGAACUGUUCCAUAUUUUA
rfam:Camelus ferus unplaced genomic scaffold scaffold1108, whole genome shotgun sequence.